UAGGGAAUCUUCCGCAAUGGACGAAAGUCUGACGGAGCAACGCCGCGUGAGCGAAGAAGGCCUUCGGGUCGUAAAGCUCUGUUGUUAGGGAAGAACAAGUAUCGGAGUAACUGCCGGUACCUUGACGGUACCUAACCAGAAAGCCACGGCUAACUACGUGCCAGCAGCCGCGGUAAUACGUAGGUGGCAAGCGUUGUCCGGAAUUAUUGGGCGUAAAGCGCGCGCAGGCGGUCCUUUAAGUCUGAUGUGAAAGCCCACGGCUCAACCGUGGAGGGUCAUUGGAAACUGGGGGACUUGAGUGCAGAAGAGGAGAGUGGAAUUCCACGUGUAGCGGUGAAAUGCGUAGAGAUGUGGAGGAACACCAGUGGCGAAGGCGACUCUCUGGUCUGUAACUGACGCUGAGGCGCGAAAGCGUGGGGAGCAAACAGGAUUAGAUACCCUGGUAGUCCACGCCGUAAACGAUGAGUGCUAAGUGUUAGAGGGUUUCCGCCCUUUAGUG
rnacentral:rRNA from 1 species